GUAGGUGGCAAGCGUUGUCCGGAAUUAUUGGGCGUAAAGCGCGCGCAGGCGGUUCUUUAAGUCUGAUGUGAAAGCCCACGGCUCAACCGUGGAGGGUCAUUGGAAACUGGGGAACUUGAGUGCAGAAGAGGAAAGCGGAAUUCCACGUGUAGCGGUGAAAUGCGUAGAGAUGUGGAGGAACACCAGUGGCGAAGGCGGCUUUCUGGUCUGUAACUGACGCUGAGGCGCGGAAGCGUGGGGAGCAAACAGGGAUAGAUACCCUGGUAGUCCACGCCGUAAACGAUGAGUGCUAAGUGUUAGGGGGGGUUUCCGCCCCCUUAGUGCUGCAGCUAACGCAUUAAGCACUCCGCCUGGGGAUACGGCCGCAAGGCUG
rnacentral:rRNA from 1 species